rnacentral:lncRNA from 1 species
AAACAAAAAUAAAAUUCGAGCAGGGAAAAUAGAAAGAAAAAGAAAUUCGUGCACCAGAAAUGUCUGAAAAAAAAAAUUCGUGCAGAGACUUUUCAUUUGGGAAAAUUACAGGACCUAUCGGAGGUACAGUGUAAGGGUGUUCCCUGAAAUUUCGAAAAUAAGCUUUUUCAUCGUGUUUCAAGAAGUUUUUUCGGGGAAAAUGUGUUUUAAACCUAAUUGAAUUGAUCUUAGUCCUAAAAUUUUUUUUUUGACCCUAUUUCUCUUUGUCCUGCAAAAAUUUUUGAGUCCGGAAUAAAAUUUUUCCUAACCCCCCNNNNNNNNNNNNNNNNNNNNCCCCAGCAAUUUUUGGAAUAAAGAAGAAAAAAAAUUCGAGCAAGGGAUUAUUUAAAAAAAAAAUAACCGACACAGCAAAACAUUUUGAAAAAAAAAUCGUGCACGUUGAAAAUGGACCACCCCCCCAUCACUUUUCUAAUGGUCCGCCCCUUAG